rnacentral:rRNA from 1 species
AUGACACCAUGCUUAAAAUUACGGAGCUUCCCAUCCGCUGCUGGACUGCCAAAUUACCAGGAGUUCCUUGAAUCCAUGUGUCCUUGGUGGCAUGAUGAGGACAAGGAACCACCAUUUCUAGAGGGAAUAUCGUCGCAAUGUGAUGAUGAUGAUGCAAAUGUGGAGUUUGAUGUUAUCUUGAGUCAGCAAAACAUGAAUAUAGCUAAGCAAGAAGGCCUCGAGAAGAAAUUCAAGUUGACAAGCAGAGUAGAAACAACAAACAUGCAAUUGCUUGACUCGGAUGGGAAGAUUCGAAAAUAUGACACCCCAGAGGACAUACUUAAAGAUUUCUUCAAACUGAGGCUCAAAUUCUAUGGCAGAAGAAAGGAAGUAAUGUUAGAUAAUAUCAGAAAAGAGUUGUUGAUGCCUAAGAACAAAGUGAGGUUUAUUCUUGCUGUUAUUUCUGGGGACAUCAUAGUCAAUAACAGGAAGAGGGCAGAGCUAUUCCUGGAGCUUAAGCAGAAGGGGUAUGAGCCUUUCCCAGAGGAAAAAAUUACGGCCGAGCCGGUUGCUGUAGGAGCUACAGCAGUAGAUGAAGCUGCAGCAGGAGUUAAUGCGAGUGAAUAUGAGUAUCUUUUCGCAAUGACAGAUGGCACCUUGACUCCGGAGAAGAUACAGGAGCUCAUCGCACUGCACAAGAAUUUAGAGGACAAAGUUGAGAGUCUCUGCAAAACAACUCCAGAGACUCUUUGGCUGAGAGACCUUGCUGCUCUUGAAAAGGAAUUGGAUGUGAUUGAUGCCAAAUUUGAAGCUGAAGAACAGGUGCGGAAGAAAGCAGCACUACUCAAGGAACAGCGUUGGAACACUCUUGUCAAAUCUCAGAAGGCAAGUGCACCGGUGACAGAUGACGAGGACGAAGCAUUCGAACUAAAACAUCGUCUGCUUGCUUAUAAUCUUGAUGGCUCCCUCUCCAGAACGUAG